GGUUGACUAGGAACACUACUCAAGGACAAUCUGUUCAUUCCAGAAAUCAACAGAGGGGACCUUUGACGCACCCCAUCCAAGGGAAAUAUCUCCUCUCUUUGGCCUAGAUUAUGAUUGAGGGAGAUGGUGGCACAGUGGUAACGUGACCAGACUAGCUGUGGAGACUCACAUGAGCAUGCGGUGGAAAUCAGGUCUUCAGAGUCAACCUGGG